UGUGAUUCAGAGCAUCUGGGCUGGGGCCUGGAAUGCACAUUUCGCACACGUUCCCAGGUGAUGCUGUGGGGUGUAGG
rnacentral:miRNA from 14 species